AAUAGAUACCCGGGUAGUCCACGCCGUAAACGAUGAGUGCUAAGUGUUAGAGGGUUUCCGCCCUUUAGUGCUGCAGCUAACGCAUUAAGCACUCCGCCUGGGGAGUACGGCCGCAAGGCUGAAACUCAAAGGAAUUGACGGGGGCCCGCACAAGCGGUGGAGCAUGUGGUUUAAUUCGAAGCAACGCGAAGAACCUUACCAGGUCUUGACAUCCUCUGCCAACCCUAGAGAUAGGGCGUUCCCCUUCGGGGGACAGAGUGACAGGUGGUGCAUGGUUGUCGUCAGCUCGUGUCGUGAGAUGUUGGGUUAAGUCCCGCAACGAGCGCAACCCUUGAUCUUAGUUGCCAGCAUUUAGUUGGGCACUCUAAGGUGACUGCCGGUGACAAACCGGAGGAAGGUGGGGAUGACGUCAAAUCAUCAUGCCCCUUAUGACCUGGGCUACACACGUGCUACAAUGGAUGGUACAAAGAGCUGCGAACCCGCGAGGGUAAGCGAAUCUCAUAAAGCCAUUCUCAGUUCGGA
rnacentral:rRNA from 1 species